rnacentral:lncRNA from 1 species
UAUUAUUUAUAUUUUAUGUGUUGUAAAGUAUACAAAUAAGACUAUAUAAAAGUUAUAAUGUUAAUAUUUAUAAGGGCAAAGUGAAUAUGUGGCUGUUUCACGUCUAACCUUACAUGUGAAACCAUCCAAAACUACGUAGUUUUGUUAGAAUUCCUUCCAAACUUCAUCUCGCUCCAUCAGGUCACGUCAAAAUUGGGUUUCUGCUCUCCUUCUCAUGCUCUGCCCAAUCGAUCUUCAUCAGGUAAACCCUAACUCUUAAAGGCACAGAUCUCUCCGCUAUCAUCGUUGAUGCACUUCAGUAUCUCGAUGGAAUCAAACAGGUGUUCAGAGCUGAUAUACAUCCAGGUGCAAGAGGCUAUGAUGAGUUAAUCUCAACUUCGUGAAUCAGAAGCCAACAAGGAAUCAAUUGGAUAUAGACAAUUGGAGAACCAACUGGAGCAAAAGUCAACAGAACGGACCCAACUAAGGAAAGACACUUGCAGCAACAAGCUGCUGAUUUAUCAUGAUAUUAUCUCGUGCGGUUCACUCAGAGAGAAUUUAAUGUAACAAUUUAGUGACUAUGUAUUCUAUUUGUAAUUGUUACUAGUAAUUAAUGUAAUUAUACAGUUUGUAAGUUCGUUUGACAUGUUUUAUAAUAACUUAAUGAAUUUUGACAUGUUUAAUAUGAGUA